GGGGCCGACUGGUUUUGACAGCGGGUUUCAUUGUAAUGUAAGCAUGUCGAGCGCUGGAAAACAGCUCGUAAAUCUCAUUUUUCACACUUUUUAAACGGCGAUAAUAAUUACGCCCUAGCUGCAUAAUCUGAAUUAUAGUAGGAUAAUGCCUCGGCCCUGAAGCAGGGCAAGCAGGAAGUCACUCCACUGCCUUGGUUUACGGCGGCGGAACUAGUGGCUUCGUAAAAGUAAACCUAGAGAAUUUAGGGCUUUGAUGAAUUCUCGACAUCUAAUUGAAGCUAAGCUGUGCGUUGGUAGUUUUUGACCGGCAAGCGGACGAAAAUUUAAACAAAAACUAAACAUGUAGAAAGCCUUAUAACGGCACGUUUGGACGAGGGUUCGAAUCCCUCCGGCUCCACCU
rnacentral:tmRNA from 1 species